UACGGAGGGUGCAAGCAUUAAUCGGAUUUAUUGGGCAUAAAGGGCGCGUAGGCGGUACGGCAAGUCAGAUGUGAAAUCCCGAGGCUCAACCUCGGAACAGCAUUUGAAACUACCGAACUAGAGGGUAGGCGGAGAAAACGGAAUUCCACAAGUAGCGGUGAAAUGCGUAGAUAUGUGGAAGAACAUCGGUGGCGAAGGCGGUUUUCUAGCUUAUACCUGACGCUGAGGCGCGAAAGCAAGGGGAUCAAACAGG
rnacentral:rRNA from 1 species